rnacentral:lncRNA from 1 species
CGGGUUCACGCCGUUUUCCUGCCUCAGCCUCCAGAGUAGCUGGGACUACAGGUGCCCGCUACCAUGCCUGGCUAAUUCUUUUGCAUUUUCGUAGAGACGGGGUUUCACUGUGUUAGCCAGGAUGGUCUUGAUCUCCUGACCUCGUGAUCCGCCUGCCUUGGCCUCCCAAAGUGUUGGGAUUACAGGUGUGAGCCACCGCGCCCGGUCGAGUUUUCUUCUUUAAUCUGGUGUUGAUCCUGAGAGUGCUUUGUUAAAAAACAUUCUCCAUGCUGACCUCCGUUUUCGAGUCUGCUUCCUGGGGAAACCUGAAACAGGACUUGAUGCUAGCAGCUUCCCAGAAGAACCAGAUGGGCCACUGUCCUUGCCAGAAGAUCUGAUCUCCUGUGUAUGGCCACCACCUAACACUGCUCACUUCUACAUC